rnacentral:rRNA from 1 species
GACGAACGCUGGCGGCGUGCUUAACACAUGCAAGUCGAACGAAGAGCGAUGGAAGCUUGCUUCUAUCAAUCUUAGUGGCGAACGGGUGAGUAACGCGUAAUCAACCUGCCCUUCAGAGGGGGACAACAGUUGGAAACGACUGCUAAUACCGCAUACGAUCUAAUCUCGGCAUCGAGGAUAGAUGAAAGGUGGCCUCUACAUGUAAGCUAUCACUGAGGAGGGGAUUGCGUCUGAUUAGCUAGUUGGAGGGGUAACGGCCCACCAAGGCGAUGAUCAGUAGCCGGUCUGAGAGGAUGAACGGCCACAUUGGGACUGAGACACGGCCCAGACUCCUACGGGAGGCAGCAGUGGGGAAUCUUCCGCAAUGGACGAAAGUCUGACGGAGCAACGCCGCGUGAGCGAUGACGGCCUUCGGGUUGUAAAGCUCUGUUAAUCGGGACGAAAGGCCUUCUUGCGAAUAGUGAGAAGGAUUGACGGUACCGGAAUAGAAAGCCACGGCUAACUACGUG